UUCUCUCCUACCAUCAUCUUCUCCCCUCCAUCGGAAACCUUCUCCCCUCCCCCUCUCCCCAAAUCGAGCAACAGGUCCGGAUCCACGGACACGACGGUGCGAGCCCCAUGAUGCAGGCCGAGGCCGCGUGACGAGGUGAUUUUUUCUGUGUGUGCUGGUUGUAGGGUGUAUCUACUGUGAUGCCACAUCUAUUAUUGUUGUGAAUAGAAGCUUCAAUGGAUGGACAAGAUGGUAGCAUCAUGCUGGUGUGUUCCUCUGUGCUGAACCGGCAAUACUUUUCCAAAGCUUACAUCUCUUUUGGAUGAUUGUCAUGUUUGGUUGUUGAACUAAUCGGAAUUCAUAGAAAUUUACCAAACCUUGAAACUUUUCUGAGUGAUUUUUGUUUGUUAUUGUAAGAGAAUAUAUUCAAUUAUUUCUGAUUGUAUUGCAUACUCACAAUGGACCGAAGAUUUUAUUGAUUUGACUCAGGCAGUUUGAAGGGUGAAUUAGCUUGGGGAACAACCAAUAUGAAGCUACAGACUUCAAGCGGACCAUGACUUUCUCAUUGUUGCAAGUUGGUGCCCUCGACAAGUAGUGGAAUCAUAAUUUUUGUAGCCAUAUCCAUUGUUUAGUUGCUCUAAUGUUUGCACCGGCAACACAUUGCCAGGAAUCACUUCUCUGUGUUUUUUGUUGUCGCAGACCGGCCAAUUCAGGUAAGAGGACACUCUUGCUAACCGUCUUGAUUUGUAAUUCCUCAUAAUCUAUGAUGUUUUAAGUUACAACAAAUAUGGAACUAAAUUUGUCAUAUUUGUCUUCCAAAAACAGGAAGUUGGUGAUUUUUGUGAGAUAUGAGAUAAUACUGUUUUAGCACACAUGCUAUUUUAAUCUAGAGAACCCAAUUAUAUGCAUGAUAUUCAGUUCACUUCAAGUGCAGGUUUCUUCUCACAAUUAAGUCCCCCUACAUGAAUGCAACGGCCAGUGAUUUUUUUCUACUAGCGUCAAUCAUUGGCAUGGUCCUUUUCAUUGUUCUCUAAUAGUCUCACGUCCACUAUUUCGUGCAUCUGUAUGCCCACAUCUAAAAUGCUACCUGUAUCGCAAGGCUUAUAAUGCAAACAUUAGCAUCACUGGCUUUGUAGUGAGAUUAAUCAUUAUAUGAUGUCUGAAUUAUCCCCAUUGACCUCCCUGAACUAUCCACACCAGACCUAUUGGUUUUGCAGAUUGGUCUACCUUAAUUCAGUGUGAGGUACUUUUUUUUUGUUGGUCGAUCCAUGAUUUGUGUGUCUUGCUGAUGCUAUGGCUAUUCUAUUUAAUUUUGUCGGCCUACAUUGUGUGAAGAACGAGUUGUGCCACCUUUUCAUGGUGGAUGAAAGGGUAGGUGCAUGUUAGUAUAUGGUUAAAUUGAGCUUGGCAGUAGAUGGUUGGUUUGCCUUUUCUUUUUCUGUUCAUGUGGUUCCUGGUUUGUAGGCUCCAGUGCUCUGUUAUUUUAGAUGGGGUGAGCAGGGACCUUUUCCCCUUUUGUUGGUUAGAAUAAAAGGGAAGUUUUAUGGUACUUAUUGCAUGAAGUAAGACAAGUUUUCUUUUGGCAUCAAUAGUGCUAUAUAAGUGAAUGUUAUGAUGAAAUCUGCACGGCCAGUAUUAUUUAUUCUUCGAUUCUUGGUUUACCUUCCUGAUCGAAGGUGAUUUCAUACAUUUGAACCAUCGCCAGAUUUAGUGCCCUGUAUGUUGGUUCCAUGGUGAAAUCACCCAAUCCUUGGGGUGUUUACAUUGAGAUUUUGGAUGCAGCUGCUGUCCCAUUUUUCUAUGUUCAGUAAAGAGCUCUGGACAUCUAUUAAACCAAGGUUUUCAUCCUUCCAAACAUGUGCACAUAUUGCUAGCAACCCAGUCUACACUCUCUGAUUAGCUUCGAAACAAUCUUGUUUUACCUUUACCAUACAGUGAAUGAAAUUAGUUGUUCACCAUAGCGCUCCACCGCUGUACGCAAUAAGACGAAGCAAUGGACAUCUUAGAAAAAUAUAAAAGAUUGGUCCUUGCUUUUGCCUUGGUGUUUUUAAUUUCUGUUUAUGCCGUUUUGUUUGCUCUAUUCUAUUUGUGUAAUUAUCCUACAAUGUUCUUUGGAAGUUGGGGUUUGAGAUAACUCUUUCUUGAAAUUUGGAUGCAGGGUUGCUCCACGCAAGGUUCCAUACCCAGAGCACAUUUUGAUAAGUUUAUGGGACAUAAUUAUUUACCUGGAAUUUAUUGAGAUCAAGGCAGCGAAAUAUUCCUUUCAUGUUGUGGACCAUCGUUUCGUUGCUUGGCAGAUGAAAUAGACAAAAAAUACAGAGAUUAAUCCCGUGAGUGGAAGUAAGCUGCGCUAUCCUUACAAGAUUAAGCCGUUCUAUAGUAUACCGAGUAACUUCAAUGGCUAGACUUACGUUGCAGGGAAAUAGCUACAUCGUCUUUUUGGAGUGAAACUGCUGAAGCUUUUGAUGCAGACAAACUCGAUACAGAUUAGUUGCAGGGUCUUGUGGUUGCUCUGUUAUAGGCUGCACAUAUAGAAACAAGAUUGUAAUGUUAUCUCCCUUUAAUUGUCUUUUUCUGGACAGGCUUUUCCAUCAUGGUGAUACAUCUCUUAUACUAACAGUCAUGGAGAGGGAUCUGAUCUGGUCAAGAUCUCCGAGCGCUCUGCAGAUCAGAUAUGGUGGUUCACUUCGACGGCGAGAUGCAAACUAUGGACGAUGUCUUGAUGCAGAGGAAUUGUUGUGCAGUGACGGCGGUCAUAUUGCUUGUAGCUGCUGGGAUCGUGGAAAAGUGGCGGCGACAACACAUGAAUGACCUUGAUGGUGGUGCUACUUGAGCACCUGGUCUUGAGCUCCGGGGUGAAAGCCUUGGUCUGCCCCAAGUUGGGUAUACCUGACAAUGGCGAUGUUUUGACGUCGUUACCUUGUUGAAGGCAUUGUUCGGAAUGUUCGGACUGAUUCUUCAGAGUGAAAACUUAGAUUCCAACCUUCGGUGGCUGGAUCCGGUGACGGUGACACUUGAAUGUCAUUCCCUUCCUUGAGGCGUUGAUGUUGAAGAACCUCGUCGUCCGCGUAGUGUCAUGAGAUUGUCGGUGCAGAUAUGGUCAUUGUUAUAGUUUGCCGAUCGUGAUGUGAUCGCUUUGGGGCAUUUUUCUUUUUUCCUCGCCUAUGCAUAACUUUGGUCUUGUAUGACUUUGCUAUUUGUCGGCGUGUUUUUGUGUGCGUGCGUUGGUGUUGGCUGUGUGCAUCCUAGCUAUGCAGAGGCCGGGUGUGUGCUCAUUGUGUUUGUAUCUUCUUGAUGCUCCAUUUUGAGUCAAUAAAAUCCACCCUUUACCGAA